UCUGCGUAUAAAUAACACGACUUUACACUUUCUAAUUGCGUGUAAUGCAUACGCCAAAUGCCAAUUUUGCGUGCAUAUGAUACGCCAAUCCUUCACAUUAACUUCGGUGGAGAGCAGAUGCGUCUAAAUACCACGCGUCAUCUUCAGCGGCAGUGACGUCACCAGCGAGGCUCAGUUCGCCCAGUUCACCUGAUGCGCCUACACCUUCAAACAGUUACGUAAGAUCACAUACUCCAGCAGCUCUUUAAAGAAGCCAUCUCUUGUAAAAGUCUCUCUCUCUCUCUCUCUCUGCUAGAAUUAACAGGGAACUUCAACUCGACGCUCCCAAUGCUGACCUUGAAGAAGCUGUCAAGGAGGCUGAACAAGUCCUUCAAAGGUUCAACCCUUCACAGCUGAAAGGGAAUACCAAAGGAAGGCCUGUCAUGGGAUUUGAAUUUGACCAUCUUGUGCGUUUAUGGAGAAGACCAAAAGCUGCAAAGGCAAACACUUCCAAUGGUACGUCUGUGUCGGUCUGAGCACUUUGACUGAACUUUACUGCAGAGACAUUUUGCACAGCAUUUGAUGUUUCUUAAACUUUGGUUUACAUACCCCACGGCC